UACGUAGGGGGCUAGCGUUGUCCGGAAUCAUUGGGCGUAAAGCGCGUGUAGGCGGUCCGAUAAGUCCGCUGUGAAAGUCGAGGGCUCAACCCUCGAAUGCCGGUGGAUACUGUCGGGCUUGAGUACGGGAGAGGCGAGUGGAAUUCCUGGUGUAGCGGUGAAAUGCGCAGAUAUCAGGAGGAACACCGAUUGCGAAGGCAGCUCGCCGGAACGUUACUGACGCUGAGACGCGAAAGCGUGGGGAGCAAACAGG
rnacentral:rRNA from 1 species